GGGUAGAAUGGCCGAGUGUAGGCGGCAGGCUGUAAUCCUGUUAAUAUAGGUUAAAAUCCUGUUUCUUC
rnacentral:tRNA from 1 species